CCUCAUAGCAGUGUUCUGGAAUCCUGUGUGAGGGACAAACGUUCAGACCCCAGCAGCAGUGUUCUGGAAUCCUAUGUGAGGGU
rnacentral:pre_miRNA from 1 species